rnacentral:rRNA from 1 species
GUGAAUCCCUUGGCUCAACCAAGGAAGGGCAUUUGAAACUGUCUGGCUUGAGUACGGGAGGGGGAAGUGGAAUUCCCGGUGUAGAGGUGAAAUUCGUAGAUAUCGGGAGGAACACCGGUGGCGAAGGCGGCUUCCUGGACCGAUACUGACGCUGAGACGCGAAAGCGUGGGGAGCAAACAGGAUUAGAUACCCUGGUAGUCCACGCCCUAAACGUUGGGCACUAGGUGUUGCGGGUAUUGACCCCUGCAGUGCCAAGGGCGAAUUCCACAGUGGAUA